rnacentral:rRNA from 1 species
UGAGGAAUAUUGGACAAUGGGCGAAAGCCUGAUCCAGCUAUACCGCAUGAGUGAUGAAUGCCCUAGGGUUGUAAAGCUCUUUCGGUGGGAAAGAUAAUGACGGUACCCACAGAAGAAGUCCCGGCUAACUUCGUGCCAGCAGCCGCGGUAAUACGAAGGGGGCUAGCGUUGUUCGGAAUUAUUGGGUGUAAAGGGCGUGUAGGUGGUUUGGUAAGUUAGAGGUGAAAUCCCUGAGCUCAACUCAGGAACUGCUUCUAAUACUGCUUUACUAGAGUACAGAAGAGGAUAACGGAAUUCCUAGUGUAGAGGUGAUAUUCAUAGAUAUUAGGAGGAACAUCAGAGGCGAAGGCGGUUAUCCAGGAUGUUACUGACACUGAGGCGCGAAAGCGUGGGGAGCAAACAGG